AUUGAACGCUGGCGGCAGGCUUAACACAUGCAAGUCGAGCGAGCGGCGGACGGGUGAGUAAUGUAUGGGGAUCUGCCCGAUGGAGGGGGAUAACUACGGGAAACGGUAGCUAAUACCGCAUACUAUAGGAUGAACCCAUAUGGGAUUAGUUAGUGGGUGGGGUAAAGGCUCACCUAGGCGACGAUCUCUAGCUGGUCUGAGAGGAUGACCGGCCGCACGGGGACUGAGACACGGCCCAGACUCCUACGGGAGGCAGCAGUGGGGAAUAUUGCACAAUGGGGGCAAGCCUGAUGCAGCCAUGCCGCGUGUAUGAAGAAGGCCUUCGGGUUGUAAAGUACUUUCAGCGGUGAGGCGUUACCUGCAGAAGAAGCACCGGCUAACUCCGUGCCAGCAGCCGCGGUAAUUC
rnacentral:rRNA from 1 species